CAGAUAAGAGAGCUGCUGCAGUACAGUGGAUUGCCAGCAGCGUUAUCCCUUUGGUACUGGUCCUUCAGGGUUGUCAUGAGGGCUGAUAUUGUGGAAGAAAUUUCCAGAUUCUCACCAUUAAGUUCAGCCCACAGUUGUGACCCAGCCUUGACCUAUAUCUCACACGCUGCCUCUGCAUAUUAUGAAAUCCCAACUUCAGGCUAGAAGGAAUCCACAGAUAUCAACCAGAUCAACCCCACAAUCCUAUAACAAUAUGAAGAGAUAUGUAGAUUUGCACCACCACCUCCUGAUAUGUGCCUAUGACUUUCACGCAAUGCUAGUGAGUUAGGGAGGGGGUUGGAAUCACAUUUCCUAGCAACAAAAAUAUAGCAGCUGAAAAGGCUGUAGCUUGAAGAAAAACAUCUGAUGCAACAAGUGAACAACAUCUGCACAUUUAUUGUACCCCCACAAAAAGCUAAUAAUUUGCAAAGGCUAUUCCUUCCAUGUAAGAGGUUUGAGACUGGGGUGUGCUGGUAAAUGUUUAACAACCGGCUCUCCAGAAAAAAAAGUAUGCAUAUAUAUACAUACAUAAGUAGGGUACUUCCAGACGAGUGUCAGUGUGUUUGUAGCAGCAGAAGUUUUGUGGCACCUUAAAGACCAACACAUUUGUGAUGGCAUAAGCCAAAGGUAGCCAACGUGGUGUCUUCCAGUUGUUGUUGGACUAUGAUCAGCCCCAUCCAGCUUGGUCAAUGAUCAGGAAUGAUUACUGUAGCCCAGCAAGAUCUAGAGGGCACAACUUUGGCUACCCCGAUCUACUUGGCUUCCACUGAGCUAUGGCCCUCCUAAAAGCAGCAGUGAGGAACCUGUGGCCCUAAAGAUACUGGACUCCAGCUCUCAUCAGCCUCAACCAGCAUGUCCAAUGGUCAGGGACGAUGGGAGUCGCUGUCCAAUAAUAUCUGGAGGGUGCCAUGUUGGCUAUCCCUGGCAUAGGCUUUCAUGGACUAGGCACCUUCUUAUCUUCCGGUAUGGUAAAUGCUAUCAUAUGCCAACAACACCCUUCUGUGUUCUACCUAGGACGAACAAGCUGGCCGCUACACAAACUAAUAAAUGGGUACAUAUGUGGCAUCAGA